CGUCUGUGGGUGUGUGUUUAGGUGUAGGUGCAUGUAUAUGUGGUUAGGUUUGUGUGUUUGUGUGUGUGAUAGAUAGUGCAAUUUUAUUAUUAUUUGAAAUUUGAAAUUCCAAUUAUCUACUUUUCAUAUAGAAUUAAAUUGUGGAAUUGGGAGGAAUUGGAAUUGUAAUUCAAUUCCAAAUCCAUAACAUUUUGCGGUACCGAACAUUGGAUUUGGAAUUGGAGUCUCCAAUUCCAAUUCCGGAUGCCCAAUUCCAUGAUACCGAACGGAGCCGUAGUGUUUUCUAAUUAUAAAAUAUAUGAGGAGGUUAUUGCUGAUUUUUUUUAAAGUUGUGUUUGUUGUGUCGAUAUUAGCACAAGAACCUCUUCCUCUCUCCAGGCAAGUUCCCACUCAGGACAAAAGAAGGUAAGGAUUAAGAAAAUAUCGAAGUUCUUGAAUUUCAGUGGUCAUUCUUCUUUGAUGUUCUGCUGAAACAUAAAUUGAUGCAGUUUAGACAUAUUGCCUGCUGGUAUUAUGGUCAUAAAUUCCUACCUGAAUUGGAUCACUGGAUGUGGUAGUCAUUCGACUCUCUUUACGACUUCUAAAUUUAUAGGAACUGGAAUUGUUUGAAACCUUACAUGGCUUCUUCAUUCAGGAAACACAAUGAGCUCAAGAGGUUGGUAAAUAUGAGAGCAUACUGGAAGUCGAGUCUCAUAUUUCUGCUUUUGGCUUCAUGAACCUGUGAUAGAAAUUGGGAUGCUGUUAUCUGCUAGAAGAAGAUCCACGAUUUCAUUUACAGGUGCAAGAAAGGAUCGACUAUAUUGCAAGGUAUGGUGCAGUUCUUCCGGUAUGGAAGGGCUAGGGCGAGGAACAAGAAGCAGUUGAAAACAGAGAACUCAUUUUCAUAUCUACUGGAAUUGUAGAUUUAUAACCACAUAUAUUUAUGUGCAUAUCUCAUUACUGUUUGCAAGGUUCUUCAUGAGAUUCUCCUCUGGCUUUUGAGAAUUAAAGAAUUUAGUCUGCCAUUGAGGUCUGUGCGCUUUUACUGGAUUGUUCAAAUCAUCCGACUGUUGAUUGGAUCAGGCCCUUUUCAUUUCUCGAUUUGGUUUACCUAAUUGUGUCAAUUUGUAUUGGUUACUUGUUGUAGAUUUAGUUAAACUGACAAAUCACAAUGCAGUCUUUGCUUUCUUUCUA